AUGCAGGCCGAGCCGACAGGUGGCAGCACGGCACUGCAUGAGGGCACGGCGCUGCGCAGAGCCUGCCCCAAUCCAGCCCGGCCUACCCGAAUCCAGCCCCCUCCCCUUCCACCACGGGUUGGAAGCGGCAGGGAGAAGCUGAUUGCAGCCUUCCCUACAUGCCAGAAAAUCUUAAUAUCGUUUGGUUGGAGGGGAUCUCAGAGAUCAUCCAUUUCCAGCCCCUCUGCCGUGGGCUGGCCGCCCCUCACAAGCCCAGGCCUGCCCAGAGCCCCAUACCUGGCAAUGGGCAGCACUGUGCAUAGAAAAUAUCUAUGUGGGAUUUGCUUUAUCAUGGUGCUGACCAUGCAGAUUCUUUGCAUAGAUCUGUAUUGCAGCUCAGGAGCUGGAGAGGCCUACAAAGCCUUUGAGUAUCGAGAACGCCAGUUCCUCACUGGCCACAUUCCACCCAUCUGGAUACGUGACCUGCUGGCAGAAGAUGGGACCUAUAAGGAGCCUGUAUGUGUUCUGCCACCUAUUGGAAUGAGACGGGCAGAGAGACGCCCGGAGAUGAAGGAGAGGAAGGAAGAAGUCAAGCUUCCACCUCUGCUUUGGACAGCUGGGAAACAUCACAGUACUUGCACUGGGGUGAUGGGUCAAGAAACACAGCUCUAUGGAGAGGGAUCCCAGGAGAGCCCUCCUGACCAAGUUUCAUCCCCUCUGUUAUUGUGCACUUCGUUUCCUUAUGGCGAUGUGGGCUCCCAUCUGCCUCUAACUUCUCACACAGGCAAGGACACACUUCACAACACCCCAAGUCCAGCAGCGGUUCACCUCUCUGAAGAGCACCACACAGGAAGAGGGAGAAACCUCGACCAGUAAAAAUCUCCAGCAAAGAAAUCUAGCGAGGAGAUUACGUGCCAGCUUCCUCGAGCAGAAGAAGAGGACAGUGGGCCCCUCCAGCAACACAUGGCAGCCCCAAGUAAGUGUGCAGCAGCUUCCCAGCAAAG
rnacentral:lncRNA from 1 species